GGCCCCCAGGAACUUCCUGUUCUAGGACACCCCCAGCAAGUCAGGGCCCCUCCUGACCAGGGACCAAGGCUUCGGAGAAGACUCUGGAGAAGGCUCGGAGGAAACUGGGAAGCUGGUUCUUUGGCCCAAAGUGCUUUUACAGCCUACCUGUAUUUUACCGGCCCUCCUAGACGGGGGGAACUCCCCUGUCCUCUGCAGGAAUGUCAAAAGCCACCCAUCUUUAACCACCUAAUGCUCCCAUCAGCAGAGAGGCACACAGCACAGUGAACGUCGAGCAUGCACACCAGGAAGCCCAGGUUCGAGUUCUGACCGUCACUUACUGGUGGUAAUGAUGGUACUAGAUGUCAGAGUCAAGGGAGCUGAGGAAGGCAUCCAAGUAAGGAGGUGGCGUGGGCACUCCCUGACAAGGCUACACGAGUGCA
rnacentral:lncRNA from 10 species